rnacentral:rRNA from 1 species
ACCUCCGGGAGGCAGCAGUGGGGAAUAUUGCACAAUGGGGGAAACCCUGAUGCAGCAACGCCGCGUGAGUGAAGAAGGUUUUCGGAUUGUAAAGCUCUGUUAGCAGGGAAGAGGAAGGACGGUACCUGCGGAGGAAGCACCGGCUAACUACGUGCCAGCAGCCGCGGCAAUACGUAGGGGGCAAGCGUUGUUCGGAAUAACUGGGCGUAAAGGAUGCGUAGGCGGUUAAACAAGUUAUAU